rnacentral:tRNA from 1 species
GCGGCCAUGGUUUAGUGGUAGAACAUGUCCUUGCCAAGGACAGGAUGGGGGUUCGAUUCCCCCUGGCCGCA